AGGGUUUGAUCAUGGCUCAGAUUGAACGUUGGCGGCACGCCUAAUACAUGCAAGUCGAACGAGAAAGCACUUCGGUGUGAGUACAGUGGCGGACGGGUGAGUAACGCGUAGGAAUCUACCUAGUAGUGGGGGACAACUCGAGGAAACUCGAGCUAAUACCGCAUACGCUCUAUGGAGGAAAGUGGGGGAUCUUCGGACCUCACGCUAUUAGAGGAGCCUGCGUUAGAUUAGCUAGUUGGUGAGGUAAAGGCUCACCAAGGCUACGAUCUAUAGCUGGUCUGAGAGGACGAUCAGCCACACUGGAACUGAGACACGGUCCAGACUCCUACGGGAGGCAGCAGUAGGGAAUCUUGGGCAAUGGGCGAAAGCCUGACCCAGCGAUGCCGCGUGUGCGAAGAAGGCCUUAGGGUUGUAAAGCACUUUCAGUUGCGAAGAAAAGCUACGAUUUAAUACGUCGUGGUCUUGACGUUAACAACAGAAGAAGUACCGGCUAACUCCGUGCCAGCAGCCGCGGUAAUAC
rnacentral:rRNA from 1 species